rnacentral:rRNA from 1 species
GAUGAACGCUGGCGGCGUGCCUAAUACAUGCAAGUCGAGCGAACAGAUGAGGAGCUUGCUCCUCUGACGUUAGCGGCGGACGGGUGAGUAACACGUGGAUAACCUACCUAUAAGACUGGGAUAACUUCGGGAAACCGGAGCUAAUACCGGAUAAUAUAUUGAACCGCAUGGUUCAAUAGUGAAAGACGGUUUUGCUGUCACUUAUAGAUGGAUCCGCGCCGCAUUAGCUAGUUGGUAAGGUAACGGCUUACCAAGGCAACGAUGCGUAGCCGACCGGAGAGGGUGAUCGGCCACACUGGAACGGAGACGCGGUCCAGACUCCUACGGGAGGCAGCAGAAGGGAAUCUUCCGCAAUGGGCGAAAGCCUGACGGAGCAACGCCGCGUGAGUGAUGAAGGUCUUCGGAUCGGAAAACUCUGUUAUUAGGGAAGAACAAAUGUGUAAGUAACUAGGCACGUCUUGACGGUACCUAAUCAGAAAGCCACGGCUAACUACGUG